rnacentral:rRNA from 1 species
UACGUAGGGUGCAAGCGUUAAUCGGAAUUACUGGGCGUAAAGCGUGCGCAGGCGGCGCGUUAAGACAGGUGUGAAAGCCCCGAGCUUAACUUGGGAAUUGCGCUUGUGACUGGCGUGCUGGAGUGUGGCAGAGGGAGGUGGAAUUCCACGUGUAGCAGUGAAAUGCGUAGAGAUGUGGAGGAACACCGAUGGCGAAGGCGGCCAUCUGGGACAACACUGACGCUGAGGAGCGAAAGCGUGGGGAGCGAACAGG